rnacentral:rRNA from 1 species
UACGUAGGGGGUAAGCGUUGUCCGGAAUCAUUGGGCGUAAAGAGCGCGUAGGCGGCCCUGUAAGUCCGCUGUGAAAGUCAAGGGCUCAACCCUUGAAUGCCGGUGGAUACUGCAGGGCUAGAGUCCGGAAGAGGCGAGUGGAAUUCCUGGUGUAGCGGUGAAAUGCGCAGAUAUCAGGAGGAACACCAGUGGCGAAGGCGGCUCUCUGGGACGGUACUGACGCUGAGACGCGAAAGCGUGGGGAGCGAACAGG